UAUUUAUAUAAAGUGGAGGGUCGCCUAACAAGGUGGUCGGAGAGGGUAAGAGGGAAUGAGAAGAAAAGGGGGGAGAGAGAGAGGAGUUUGUGAUACGAACAUCAUGUCCUUCUGCCUGGUUGUUUUGGGUUUAAGUUUUGUCCUGUGUUCCAUCAGAUGAGAUGUUGUGACAGGAGUUUAGUGUGGUGAUUAUUAAGUAAGGUUCAUUAAGUUGUUCUAAAUGGUUAGUCAUAAAAUGUAUUCUAUUUUCAUGGAUAGGAAUCGAAUCCCAGACUUCAUGAUUAAAGAAUGUGACGAGCAACUAUUAUAUCACACCUCAUGAUUAUAGCAUUAUUGAGAGACAUAACUUAUGUGUCGUGUUUUACACCUUUGCGAGUUUGUAUUUUGUAUCUUCAAUAGAAAGGUGAGUGAUUUCAUUGAGUUUACCUAGUGAUACAAUAGAAAAGUUGCAACAUUUUUGUAAGAAGGUUGGGCUUAAAUUUUAUUAUAAUUGUGAGUAUUAAUGGAUUCAUUUUCGGAUAAGAUCUGGAAGACGUCAGUUAAAUCUAAAUUGUG
rnacentral:lncRNA from 1 species